GCCAGGCGUGGUGUCGUGUGCCUGCAGUCACAGCUACUCAGGAGGCUGAGGUGGGAGGAUCGCUUGAGCCCAGGAGUUCUGGGCUGUAGUGCGCUAUGCCGAUCGGGUAUCUGCACUAAGUUCAGCAUCAAUAUGGUGACCUCCAGGAGCAGGGGACCACCAAUUUGCCUAAGGAGGGGUGAACCGGCCCAGGUCGGAAAAGGAGCAGGUCAAAACUCCCAGGUUGAUCAGUAGUGGGAUUGCGCCUGUGAAUAGCCACUGCACUCCAACCUGGGCAACAUAGCGAGACCCCAUCUCUU
ensembl:misc_RNA Metazoa_SRP Metazoan signal recognition particle RNA